GAUGAACGCUAGCGGCAGGCCUAACACAUGCAAGUCGAGGGAGGAGCCUUCGGGCUUCGACCGGCGUACGGGUGCGUAACGCGUAUACAAUCUGCCUUUCACAUAGGGAUAGCCCGAAGAAAUUUGGAUUAAUACCUAAUGGUAUAUAGAUGUGGCAUCACCUUUAUAUUAAAGCUGAGGCGGUGAAAGAUGAGUAUGCGUUCUAUUAGCUAGUUGGAGAGGUAACGGCUCCCCAAGGCGACGAUAGAUAGGGGUUCUGAGAGGGAUAUCCCCCACACUGGUACUGAGAUACGGACCAGACUCCUACGGGAGGCAGCAGUGAGGAAUAUUGGACAAUGGUCGGAAGACUGAUCCAGCCAUGCCACGUGCAGGAAGACGGCCUUAUGGGUUGUAAACUGCUUUUGCAGGGGAAGAAUAAGGACUACGCGUAGUUUGAUGACGGUACUCUGCGAAUAAGCAUCGGCUAACUCCGUG
rnacentral:rRNA from 1 species